CCCAGGGAUAGCGAUGUUAAUAACAACAUUUUAUUUUACUUUUGGGCUUCCCAGAUGGCGCUCAUGGUAAAGAACCUACCUGUCAAUUCAGGGGACAUUAAGAGAUAUGAGUUCGAUCCCUGGAUUGGGAAGAUCCCCUGGAGGAGGUCACGGCAGCCCACUCCAAUAUUCUCCCUUGGAGAAUCCCAUGAACAGAGGAACCUGGUGGGCUACAGUCAAGAGGAUUGCAGAAAAUUGGACCCAACUUUGAAGCAACUUGGCACGCACUUUGCUUUUUAAUUUUUUUUAUUUUUAAUUGAAGGAUAAUUGCUUUGCAAUAUUGUGUUGGUUUCUGCCAUAUAUCAACAUGAAUCAGCCACAGGAUUUGGGAUCUUAGUUCCCUGGCCAGUGAUCCAACCCAGGCUCCAGGCAGUGGCAGCUCGGAGUCUUAACCACUGGACUACCAGAACUCAGCGUCCAUGCUGUGAGGAAGCCCACGAGUGCAUGGAAAAGGCUGCAUGGGGAGGGCUUGAGGUCCCCGCACCCCGUCCCAGCUGAGCUGCUGCCCAACAGCCAGUCCCAACUUGCCAACCAG
ensembl:lncRNA